GUGUGUGUGUGUGUGUGUGUAUGUGUGUGUGUGUGUUACUGUGAGUGGGUGAAGAGAGAGAGAGAGAGAGAGUCAGAAUGUGAAGGUAUUUUUGUAUUUGUGUGGGAAGCAGUGGACGUAAAGCACUGAUAACAGAGAGGGAACACAUACAAAGAGAAGGAAUUUGAAGGUAUUCUGCAUUGUGUGUGUGGCUGUGUGCGUGUGUGUGUGUGCGUGUGUGUGUGUAAGGUACAGUUGAGGCAGAUUAAUCCAGCGGAAAUGCAAAAGCUCUCGCAGCUUUUCCAGUGUGCUUUAAGAGCACAGCUGUCCACCACACACUCACACGCUGUCACUCUCCACUCUGAGCUAUACUGAGCCUCUGAGAGAGAGAGAGAGAGAGAGAGAGAGAGAGAGAGAGGAAAAAGAGAGAGAGAAAGCAAAGAGAGAGAGAGUAGUAGAGGGGUAGGGAGAGAGAGAGCCGGGAGAGAAAGAGCAGAAAGAAAGAAAGAUGGUGUGAAAGAGGUUCAGACAGAGAAACAUAUAGAGAGCAGAAAAAGAAAAAAGAGAGGGACAGCAAGAGAGAAUGAUAGAGGAAGAGAAAGCAGAGAAAGAGAAAGAGCAGCGAGAAAAACAUAUAGAGAGCAGAGAGAGAAAAAAGAGAGGGACAGCAAGAGAGAAUGAUAAAGGGAGAGAGCAGAGAGAGAGUGCAAAGUGCAUAGAGGAAUAGGUAGAGAGAAAUAGAAGGGAGAGCAAGAGAGAGGAGGCGUUUGAAGAGGCAGAAAAUGACGGAAGACAUUGAAGUGAAAUGCUGAGGAAGAGAAGAAUAAUAUAGCAGGAGCGAUAGAUAGAUAGAUAGAUAGAUAGAUAGAUAGAUAAUACUACAUUAAUAUAUCCUUUUAUAUAUUUUAUAUUUUUAAGAGAAUGAGGUGGUUAGCAAAAAAGACUUAAGGAAGAACAGAGAGAGAUAGAGAGAGAGAGAGAGAGAGAGAAAGACAGAGAGAGAGAGGGGGGAUAGAGACAGAGAGAGAAAGAGAGGGGGGUCUACUCCAGUAAUAGCAGUUCACAGUUAGGAGACUGGCUAACUGUAUGUGCUGAGCAGAGAGAUGGGGACGGUCUCUGCCAUGGCCAGAGACACAGAAGACAUGGCCAAGGUCCGAUCCUGAACACACGCACACACACACACUCUCGCUGACAAACACAGAGGAUGACCCCUGGACAUGCUGAGCGGAGGAGUGGUCUAGGAGCCAUGACAGGAGGUGUGGUCUUUACACUGUCCACCUUACUUCUGGUCCAGGCAGUGUCCCCUUGCCCCAAGGAGUGCUCAUGUGAUAGUUAUGCCAAGGUGGUGGACUGUCGGGGGCGAGGUUUAUACGACAUUCCUCACAAGCUACAUCCCGAAACUCAGGAGCUGUAUCUUCAGGACAACCGCAUACGAGGCCUUGGCUCCAUGGCAUUUCGGGAAACGCCACAACUCCGGGUUCUGGACCUGGCCAACAACACCAUCACUAUGAUUUCCCCCAGUGCCCUCCUGGGGCUCAGGGGGUUAAGAAGCCUCAGCUUGGCCAACAACUCGAUCCGGGAGGUGGACCGCCGUUUUUUGGGCUCUAUACGGAAUCUAACCCAGUUGGACCUUUCUUACAACAACAUUGGAGGGCUACCUGGAGCACUAGCCGAUAGCUUCCACCACCUAACUCACCUAUCACUUCAUUUUAACCGGCUGACCAAGGUGGACCGCACUCACUUGGAGGCCCUUGGGAGCCUGGAGGUGCUGAACCUGAGGGGGAACCCGUGGAAGUGCGAUUGCCAGAUGAUAGGACUCAAGCUAUGGCUGGAGACAUUCACUUUCAAAGGUGGAGUGGUGGACGAGGUUGUGUGUGCCCAGCCUCACGCCAUGCGGGAGCGCGACCUGCAGCAAGUUCCCUAUGAGCUCUUCCACGCCUGCAUGACCACCAGCUACAGCUACCUGUUCGCCAACAUCCACCAUCUGGACAACCAGCACCGGCUGCUCCGUGGUCAUCUCCACCCCAGCCCAGAGGCUCCUCCUUAUGGGGGCGAAUUCGGACCCCCACCGGAGUGUGAGGCCAAACAGAAGCCUCGGCCUGUCAACCUGCGGCACGCCAUAGCCACAGUGGUAAUCACCGGAGUGGUGUGCGGCAUUGUUUGUCUGAUGAUGCUGGCCGCUGCUGUCUACGGGUGCGCCUAUGCCGCCAUCAUGGCCAAAUACCAGCGUGAGCUGAAGAAGCGAGAGAAGGAGGCUGGAGGAGGAGGAACAGAGAGGGAGAACGCAGAUAGGGAAGGGGAGAAGGAGCCGCUGGAGAACGCUAUAGCGUGAGAAGAAGCGAGACAUGCAAUAAUGCCCAUAUCUGCACCAGGGGUGUUACAUAGUCAACACAGAUCAUGAACAUCGAUAAAGGAAUACUUCUGGAUUUUUCAAUCUACUGCAUCAGUAGCAUACGAGUGGCAAUAUGUUACCAGUGUAGUGUUACAGGUGGAGUUUUAACAGACUCCUGCCUGAUCAUGCAUGAAUACCAGAAAACCAACCCUUGUCCUGAAGAUCUACCUUCCUGUGGAGUCUAGUUUCAACCACAAUCUGCAACUAAUUCACUUCUUCAGACGUUGUUCAUUGGCUGGAUCUGAAGCAGAAGUGCUAAGUGAGUGUGGUGCAGCAUGUUAGAUACAGGUUAGAACUAAACUCUGAAGGAAACUAGAGCUGCAUUCCAAAAGCUAGGAUCCACUUUUCUCAGCUCUUCGUUUGUAUUACGUAAUGCAAAAUGGUAUACCAAGUCCACCAAGGCCACUUUGUCAUGUGAUCAGAAAGGAGAAAAUACCA